GUAUGGUGAUGAAAACCCAUGCGUGUCAUCUGACUAUGUAAAAUCCUGCUGUGUUGUUGCUCAGGUUGACGUUCUGCUGACCUGAGUCUUCUGCACAGCUGGAAUUCAUAGACAUGAUCACACUUGACUGUUUCUGAAUCC